AGUGAACGCUGGCGGUAGGCCUAACACAUGCAAGUCGAACGGCAGCACAGUAAGAGCUUGCUCUUACGGGUGGCGAGUGGCGGACGGGUGAGGAAUACAUCGGAAUCUACUUUUUCGUGGGGGAUAACGUAGGGAAACUUACGCUAAUACCGCAUACGACCUACGGGUGAAAGCAGGGGAUCUUCGGACCUUGCGCGAUUGAAUUAGCCGAUGUCGGAUUAGCUAGUUGGCGGGGUAAAGGCCCACCAAGGCGACGAUCCGUAGCUGGUCUGAGAGGAUGAUCACCCACACUGGAACUGAGGAACGGUCCAGACUCCUACGGGAGGAAGCAGUGGGGAAUAUUGGACAAUGGGCGCAAGCCUGAUCCAGCCAUACCGCGUGAGUGAAGAAGGCCUUCGGGUUGUAAAGCCCUUUUGUUGGGAAAGAAAAGCAGCAGGUUAAUACCCCGCUGUUCUGACGGUACCAAAAGAAUAAGCACCGGCUAACUUCGUG
rnacentral:rRNA from 1 species